ACUCCGCCCUUCUUAGCCCUUGUAAUAGAGAAGCAGGUACAUAGAGAUGGGUUAUAACAGGUCGCUUCUCGCGGCCGCCGUGCUCGUUCUGGUUAUUUCCGCCGCCACGCUCGGCGGCGAAGCAACGAGGGUUCUCACUCAAACUCCUAAGACAGCAGAAAACAGGGGACGGAACUUGGAGUCACGGGCGAUCCCCAAUGACUAUCCUUGGGCGGACGGUCCUGUCGGAGAGAUGGUCAGCGGCGCCGACAACGAAGGCUAGCUUUCGUGGCGACAACCUUUGAUCAAUUGCAUCAUGUAAUGGAUACUAAGAAGAUAUGUCACAAAAUAAAUGUUCGAAACACUAGUUGAACUUGCAGUAUGUAGAAACAGUGCCUUCUUAUCUCCCGUUCAAUCUUUGGAAAGUGGGAUUUACACAUGAAACAAAGGGCUUCACGUAUGCAUAUGAGCAAAUUAUAGGAUUGUAUUUGUGGCCAAAUUGAAUCGAACAAAGCUAAAGUUAAUGAGC